AUGCUGACGAGUGGCGAACGGGUGAGUAAUACAUCGGAACGUGCCUAGUAGUGGGGGAUAACUACUCGAAAGAGUAGCUAAUACCGCAUGAGAUCUACGGAUGAAAGCAGGGGACCUUCGGGCCUUGUGCUACUAGAGCGGCUGAUGGCAGAUUAGGUAGUUGGUGGGGUAAAGGCUUACCAAGCCUGCGAUCUGUAGCUGGUCUGAGAGGACGACCAGCCACACUGGGACUGAGACACGGCCCAAACUCCUACGGGAGGCAGCAGUGGGGAAUUUUGGACAAUGGGCGAAAGCCUGAUCCAGCAAUGCCGCGUGCAGGAUGAAGGCCCUCGGGUUGUAAACUGCUUUUGUACGGAACGAAAAGCCUGGGGCUAAUAUCCCCGGGUCAUGACGGUACCGUAAGAAUAAGCACCGGCUAACUACGUGCCAGCAGCCGCGGUAAUACGUAGGGUGCAAGCGUUAAUCGGAAUUACUGGGCGUAAAGCGUGCGCAGGCGGUUUUGUAAGACAGUGGUGAAAUCCCCGGGCUCAACCUGGGAACUGCCAUUGUGACUGCAAAGCUAGAGUGCGGCAGAGGGGGAUGGAAUUCCGCGUGUAGCAGUGAAAUGCGUAGAUAUGCGGAGGAACACCGAUGGCGAAGGCAAUCCCCUGGGCCUGCACUGACGCUCAUGCACGAAAGCGUGGGGAGCAAACAGGAUUAGAUACCCUGGUAGUCCACGCCCUAAACGAUGUCAACU
rnacentral:rRNA from 1 species